rnacentral:rRNA from 1 species
UACGUAGGGGGCAAGCGUUGUCCGGAUUUAUUGGGCGUAAAGAGCGUGUAGGCGGCUAUACAGGUCCGUUGUGAAAACUCGAGGCUCAACCUCGAGACGCCGAUGGAAACCGUAUGGCUAGAGUCCGGAAGAGGAGAGCGGAAUUCCUGGUGUAGCGGUGAAAUGCGCAGAUAUCAGGAAGAACACCCGUGGCGAAGGCAGCUCGCUAGGACGGUACUGACGCUGAGACGCGAAAGCGUGGGGAGCGAACAGG